AUGGCGACGAGAUCAUAGAUCUCCGAUUCGAUGAUCAACGACGAUGGACGACGUCGGAAUCAAUCAAAGACACGGAGGAAAAACAGGGCACUUGAGAUUCGAUUUUUUUUUCAAAAUCAACAAAUAAACCACUAAAAUCCAUCUUAAUAAUCACAAGAACUUGAUGAAGGGCUUCCUCAAGGGAUUUUUUUACCUGAUUCUGAUGAUGCUCAGCCCAAAAUUCUUCGAACAUGGUGAUGACCAUCCGAAACAAGAGAGAUGAAUAGAGGGAGGAAGAUGGC
rnacentral:lncRNA from 1 species